rnacentral:lncRNA from 1 species
CUACCUUUUGUUCAACGAUGAAGGGAUCUGAGACUUGUAAUACUGUUUACUGAUUUGAUAAUAUUCCUUGUUCCUUUGAUGGUUCAUUCCACUACAGCUGGUUCAUAUACCCUACACUAGCCAGGAAAUUGAUCUGUUUACUUUAAGAUCUGAAGAAAAUGUAACAUAUUUUGGAUGUGCUUUGAGGAAUCAGGUAGGCAAGUGUUUCCUCUUGUUUAUGAAAGCAGCUCAGUUGGUUAAGGAGCAGACAACUUGUGAGCAUGGUACAUCACUACCUGUAUUGGUAUUCCAUUUUGACAAUGUUGCUAGCUAGGAUAGAAAUAACAUCUUGCUGUGGUAUGGUCUGUGGAGAGUUUU